UACGAAGGGGGCUAGCGUUGCUCGGAAUCACUGGGCGUAAAGCGCACGUAGUCGGCUUUGCAAGUCGGGUGUGAAAUCCCCGGGCUCAACCUGGGAACUGCAUCCGAGACUGCAUUGCUAGAGUAUGGGAGAGGGAAGCGGAAUUUCUGGUGUAGCAGUGAAAUGCGUAGAUAUCAGGAGGAACACCGGUGGCGAAGGCGGAUCUCUGGGCCAUUACUGACGCUGAGGAGCGAAAGCGUGGGGAGCGAACAGG
rnacentral:rRNA from 1 species